rnacentral:lncRNA from 1 species
GUUUCCUUUAAAUACCCUGUCACCUUAAUUGAGACCACGCCCCCAAAAGGUCCGGAAUAGCGGUUCCCGGCACUUCACGUAAUGCUGACGUCAUGACGUCGAAGCUAGGCGUCGCGUCAUAAAAGGGGGAGGAGCUAGCACGGCCGGCGCGAAAACGGCCGGAAUUUGCCGAAAUGCUAGGGGCAAGGAGCCCCUAAACAGAGAGGA